UAAUACCAGCUCCUCGAGUGGUCAGGGCGUUUAUUGGGCCUAAAAGCAUCCGUAGCCUGCUCAGUAGGUCUCCUGUUAAAUCCAACGGCUCAACCGUUGGUCUGCAGGAGAUACCGCUGGGCUAGGAGGCGGGAGAGGCGGACGGUACUCCGAGGGUAGGGGUAAAAUCCUUUGAUCCCCGGAAGACCACCAGUGGCGAAGGCGGUCCGCCAGAACGCGCUCGACGGUGAGGGAUGAAAGCUGGGGGAGCGAACCGGAUUAGAUACCCGGGUAGUCCCAGCUGUAAACGAUGCGAGCUAGGUGACACGACGCCUUCGGGGCGUCGUGGUGCCGCAGGGAAGCCGUUAAGCCCGC
rnacentral:rRNA from 1 species